CCCGCCCCGCACAGACGCACGCGGGAGCUUGCCUAAAACGCCAAGCGAGCGUGAAGCCCAGCUAGACACGCGAGCUGGUCGGGGGGCUGCAGAGCGCGCUGUCACUGAAUGAGCAUGUUAGCAGGGCCCCUCGUCGGGCGGGAAACGGGGCAGGCUCCAGCAGCUUCGCACCCGAUGCAGAAUCAGUGACCGUAAAAAAGGAGAGGGGGCCAUAGGGACCCGCCUGUGUGACGGAGGAAGCUGAGCCGGGUCGGUGUUUACUACUCCAGGGCUGACACCGAUGAGGGGAAGCUUUCCGCCAGCGAUCGAGAACGAGGGACAGUUUUCCUCAAAAGCAGGACGCUGCAGCGUGGGCCAAAGGCGAGAGGUGCCGGAGCUGGCCAUCCCCGCAUCUAACCAGCCAUCUUUUGUGUGCCUCCAUCACCAAACCUGCCGCCCCACGUCAAGCCUGACCCCGGCUAAUGCUAAUGGACGUGGGAUCAAAGCCCAGGCAGUACAAAGUCCUGCCCUGGCCAGACUGACAGAUACCAGAGGAAUGUAGCUUUCAUGCUUUGUUGCUGUGUCUGUGUAGCGAAGAAAUGCCACCUGGAGAGUGAAGAAAGAGGCGGGGAGGGGGCGUUGUUCAUGUUUUAAUUAAGUAAAUUAAUUGAUCGCUG